CCCCCUCUAGCGUUAAGCGUAUAUUCUAACAGACCUUACUUGCCCAAAUAAGAAAAGAACCUCAAAUACACGGACACAAAAUCAGAUCUGGGAAAACUCACUCAUCAUAUUUCAAAGUUGAUUCAUUCCAAAUCGCACAAAAGCCAACAUGAACACAAUGUAGCUUAAUGAGUAUCUAGUUGCAAUCCACAGAAACAGAAACGUCAUCAGCCAAGUAAAGGGAGAAUAUGAAGAUGAGAGGAGUUCAGCAAUGCAAAAUCAGUAACACAGCUUCAUUUGAUACCCACAAUCAUAUCAAAUGAAAAUCCAGAAAUCAUGAAGUAGACGAACAUAUACUAAAAUCAAUUCGUUCUAAUCAUCCUUCAAAUUACUUCAAUAUCUUAAAACUAACAAGUUAUAACCACGAAUGAACUCACAGGAUCCUCUUAAGGUGAAACAAGACAAGAUGCUAUCUAAGAAGCAACCUAACAAAGAGAGUAGACGACCUUACCUCGAUAGUACCAUAAGAACCAAACACACAAACACUUUAAAUAUCAAACACACAUCGAACCACCUUUGAAUUUACAUGAACCAACUAAUCACUGAACAUAUCCUUAACAGGGAAUAAUCGAGCAUGGAGGGAGUACUAAUUGAAGUAAAAAUGGCCUAAGAAAAUCAGUGAUGGAAUUAAAAUGCCGGAAACAUGAGCAUUCACUUAAUCCCUCAAUUAUGGUGAAUUAUAAAGAACAAAUAUUAUCAAUAGGGAAUUUCAACAGAUUCAACCCAAAAAUACAUGUUUCUGUUUUCACUUCUUUUCUUUUUUUAAAAAAAAUAAAUGCAGACUAGAGAUGGCACACACACAUGAGUGAAGUUUCAGCAAAGGAAAUCAUGAGGCACUCCUUCAAAUCACGUUAUAAACUCAGGGCAGAACAUCACAAAUGCGACACAUAUGACUCAAAGGUUGCAACCGAAGAGGGUCCUGCAUUUGAAUAAACUUCGAGAAAAAUGUUAAAGCCUUAGACAGUUAACAAGAGAAUUGUUUGAAAACUUAGAUGGACAAGAUUUUGAUUCACCAAUCUGAACAUCAGAACCUCAAACACUAGAGCUUUAAUAAGUUUCUAACAGUAAAAUGAUUAAGGUAGCUUCAAACACAAGAUCGCUUUAAGAGCACAAGACGAACUCUAGCAUGCUCAAACUAAUCGGCUAAUGAAAAAAAAACUCCGACAUCCUUCUCAUGAGAGCUUAUUCAAACAGAAACCAACACUAUCGCGUUCAGAAUAAGAGCAAAACCAUGUCUCAAAUUCCCAGUUAGAGCAUGCUUAUGCUAACAGAAUUAAUAGACGUGGCAGGAUUGCUUUGGAAAUCAUUAAGCAGGUCAGUCGACUUAAAAUAACAGUGAUGGAAUUACCACACCAUUACUUAGAACAGACUCAGUCCACAAAAAAGUCGAUCAUAACACAAAAAAAUCACCCUGGACUUAAUCUCAAAAAAAGAAUACUGAAACAAAACAGAAUUGCAAGAACAAAAGAGAUGAAGAUUGAACCUGAAGCUGCAAAAUCCGUUUAUACAACAUGUAGACUCGACAACACACUUCUCGACUAAAAAUCCUAGCGAGGUUCAGCAACAAUUCAGCGAGACGACAGUAAAACCCAGCUUGAAGUUCAAUGUUAUCUUCUUAGAACUCAAAUAUGUAUUUUAGAAAAAUGAGAAGAAGAAAUUGUAUCUAUGCUUCUUUUAAACUACAAUGGCCUCGUCCAAGAAAAUCUACUCCGAAAAAACCAUUUGUUCAUAGAAAACGUUUCAAACCUUUUUUUCUUUUUUCUCCAUUUCUUCGCCUCCCUCACGUAAUUGGAUAAAAUCUAUUUUGAAGACCAAUCUUGAUGAAUAUGGGGAUCAGAUUGAGUGAAAUCAAUCCAACGUCUCACACUCAUCUAGUAUUUCGUCUUCCAGAACCUUCCAAUCGUGUGUUUUUUCUCAAAAUCGAGCGAGUGGGAGGAGGAGGAAUCUUGGCAUCAAAAGUCGUUAGCAACAACAAAAGGAGAGAUAGAAGGACGCGUGGGUUAGAUAUUGAUGCCACUUGCCAUAGAUUUUGGGCUGAAAUGGGACUUGGGUACGUGGGUUCUCCAAAGAAGAAGAAUACUGACGCGUUUGGGGCUUAUGGAUUUAGGACUCGAUUCGAUUUCUGUGUGUGUAAACGAUUAAGUGGGGAAAUGAGUCGGGUUGCGGGGAGUUGGGCUUGGGCGACGGGUGUGAUCCAGGUGUGUAUGCAUUUGGGCUAG
rnacentral:lncRNA from 1 species